rnacentral:rRNA from 1 species
CGAAUGCUGACAUAAGUAACGAUAAAGCGGGUGAAAAGCCCGCUCGCCGGAAGACCAAGGGUUCCUGUCCAACGUUAAUCGGGGCAGGGUGAGUCGACCCCUAAGGCGAGGCCGAAAGGCGUAGUCGAUGGGAAACAGGUUAAUAUUCCUGUACUUGGUGUUACUGCGAAGGGGGGACGGAGAAGGCUAUGUUGGCCGGGCGACGGUUGUCCCGGUUUAAGCGUGUAGGCUGGUUUUCCAGGCAAAUCCGGAAAAUCAAGGCUGAGGCGUGAUGACGAGGCACUACGGUGCUGAAGCAACAAAUGCCCUGCUUCCAGGAAAAGCCUCUAAGCAUCAGGUAACAUCAAAUCGUACCCCAAACCGACACAGGUGGUCAGGUAGAGAAUACCAAGGCGCUUGAGAGAACUCGGGUGAAGGAACUAGGCAAAAUGGUGCCGUAACUUCGGGAGAAGGCACGCUGAUAUGUAGGUGAAGUCCCUCGCGGAUGGAGCUGAAAUCAGUCGAAGAUACCAGCUGGCUGCAACUGUUUAUUAAAAACACAGCACUGUGCAAACACGAAAGUGGACGUAUACGGUGUGACGCCUGCCCGGUGCCGGAAGGUUAAUUGAUGGGGUUAGCC